CCGAGUGUCGGGCCCUCCGGGUCCACCCUCCCACCCGUGUCUACCGUCCCUUGUUGCUUCGGCGGGCCCGCCCUUCGGGGCUGCCGGGGGGCCCUCACGCCCCCGGGUUCCGCGCCCGCCGGAGACGUCCACGCGAACACUGUGUGAAGGUUGCCGUCUGAGUGGAUUUAUCCAAUCGUUA
rnacentral:misc_RNA from 1 species